rnacentral:tRNA from 1 species
CGGAUGUGGCGAAAUUGGUAGACGCGCUAGACUUAGGAUCUGGUGCCGCAAGGCGUGGGGGUUCGAGUCCCUUCAUCCGC